GCCUUCGUGGUGUAGUGGUCAGUACAUUCGACGCGUAACCGAGAGGUCCGUGGUUCGAUUCCCGGCGAAGACG
rfam:Stegodyphus mimosarum contig75836, whole genome shotgun sequence.